rnacentral:tRNA from 1 species
GGGUAGCUCAGUGGUAGAAUGUCUGCUUAGCAUGCAGGACAUCCUGGGUUCAAUCCCCAGAAACUCCA